GGGUUGUGAGGUUAAGCGACUAAGCGUACACGGUGGAUGCCCUGGCAGUCAGAGGCGAUGAAGGGCGUGCUAAUCUGCGAUAAGCGCCGGUAAGGUGAUAUGAACCGUUAUAACCGGCGAUACCCGAAUGGGGAAACCCAGUGUGACUCGUCACACUAUCAUUAACUGAAUCCAUAGGUUAAUGAGGCGAACCGGGGGAACUGAAACAUCUAAGUACCCCGAGGAAAAGAAAUCAACCGAGAUUCCCCCAGUAGCGGCGAGCGAACGGGGAGGAGCCCAGAGCCUGAAUCAGCAUGUGUGUUAGUGGAAGCGUCUGGAAAGGCGCGCGAUACAGGGUGACAGCCCCGUACACAAAAGCGCAUGUGUUGUGAGCUCGAUGAGUAGGGCGGGACACGUGGUAUCCUGUCUGAAUAUGGGGGGACCAUCCUCCAAGGCUAAAUACUCCUGACUGACCGAUAGUGAACCAGUACCGUGAGGGAAAGGCGAAAAGAACCCCGGCGAGGGGAGUGAAAAAGAACCUGAAACCGUGUACGUACAAGCAGUGGGAGCACCCUUCGGGGUGUGACUGCGUACCUUUUGUAUAAUGGGUCAGCGACUUAUAUUCUGUAGCAAGGUUAACCGAAUAGGGGAGCCGGAGGGAAACCGAGUCUUAAUUGGGCGUUAAGUUGCAGGGUAUAGACCCGAAACCCGGUGAUCUAGCCAUGGGCAGGUUGAAGGUUGGGUAACACUAACUGGAGGACCGAACCGACUAAUGUUGAAAAAUUAGCGGAUGACCUGUGGCUGGGGGUGAAAGGCCAAUCAAACCGGGAGAUAGCUGGUUCUCCCCGAAAGCUAUUUAGGUAGCGCCUCGUGAAUUCAUCUCCGGGGGUAGAGCACUGUUUCGGCUAGGGGGCCAUCCCGGCUUACCAACCCGAUGCAAACUGCGAAUACCGGAGAAUGCUAUCACGGGAGACACACGGCGGGUGCUAACGUCCGUCGUGAAGAGGGAAACAACCCAGACCGCCAGCUAAGGUCCCAAAGUCAUGGUUAAGUGGGAAACGAUGUGGGAAGGCCCAGACAGCCAGGAUGUUGGCUUAGAAGCAGCCAUCAUUUAAAGAAAGCGUAAUAGCUCACUGGUCGAGUCGGCCUGCGCGGAAGAUGUAACGGGGCUAAACCAUGCACCGAAGCUGCGGCAGCGAACGUAUCACCCAAGACAACUUUACGGAGUUGACGAUUGACGGAGCGAAGCGACGUCAAAGCGUUCAUUAAAGUCGAGUUGGCUUAGGGAUACGUUCGUUGGGUAGGGGAGCGUUCUGUAAGCCGUUGAAGGUGGCCUGUGAGGG
rnacentral:rRNA from 1 species